rnacentral:rRNA from 1 species
CACGUAGGGACCAAGCGUUGUCCGGAUUUAUUGGGCGUAAAGAGCUCGUAGGCGGUUCAGCAAGUCGGGUGUGAAAACUCUGGGCUCAACCCAGAGACGCCACCCGAUACUGUUGCGACUAGAGUCCGGUAGGGGAGUGGGGAAUUCCUGGUGUAGCGGUGAAAUGCGCAGAUAUCAGGAGGAACACCGGUGGCGAAGGCGCCACUCUGGGCCGGCGCUGACGCUGAGGAGCGAAAGCGUGGGUAGCAAACAGG